UACGUGGGACCCAAGCGUUAUCCGGAAUUACUGGGCGUAAAGAGUUGCGUAGGUGGCAGAGUAAGUUGGUAGUGAAAUCCUGGGGCUCAACCCUUUAAACAUUAUCAAAACUGCUCAGCUAGAGGACGAGAGAGGUCACUGGAAUUACUAGUGUAGGAGUGAAAUCCGUAGAUAUUAGUAGGAACACCGAUGGCGUAGGCAGGUGACUGGCUUGUUCCUGACACUAAGGCACGAAAGCGUGGGGAGCGAACGGG
rnacentral:rRNA from 1 species